GCCAGGCUCUGUGCAUGACUCCCGGAUCUUCAGAGAGUCACAGCUGUGCAGGAAACUCGAGCAGGGUAAAACUACUGUACACUGAAUUUGUUCUUUGAUGUCAACCACAUUUUCAGCUCCUCAAGGCUCUUCCUCUUUAUCUGCAGGGCUCUUCAGUGGAGUGCUGCUGGGAGACAGAGGGUACGCCUGCCAGCCCUACCUACUGACCCCCUAUCCUGACCCUGGUGCCGGUCCACAAACUUUGUUUAAUGUGGCCCUGGCUAAAACCAGGGUCAGGAUAGAGAUGACCUUUGGGGUCAUCAAGGCCCGCUUCAACUGUCUCCGCGGGCUCAGGAUGGCUCCAGAGAGGGCCUGCAGAGUGAUUGCAGCGUGUGUGGUGCUGCACAAUAUUGCAGCCCUACGGCGGGAGAGGGUCCCUCCUGUUGACCCCCCCCCUCCUGAUGUGGUGGACCCCAUCACCGUGGACUUCCCUUCAGGGAGGGCUGUCCGGGAGGCCAUAACUGAACAAUUUUUUACAUAGGCACGAGAAGCAUGAUUUUGGUUUGUAUUUUG